CCGUGCUCCACGGGGAAUUGCAAUCCCUUGACCCGAAGUUAAUGCGGGGUGCAGAGCCUGUUGUGAGGGUUCGGUAAAUAACUUUGAUAAACAUACUGUCGUUGACGUUUAAAGGCAUGGCGGCGUAAACUGCCGAACCGUGUCAGGAUGGAAACAUAGCAGCACUAAGGCAAUCCUUGCGGGUGUCUUGUCAUUAAAAAGAGGCAGUAUAUUUAAAGAUUUUAUUUAGCGAAUUCGAUAGACAGUGGCACGG
rfam:Fusobacterium sp. CAG:439 genomic scaffold, scf55